rnacentral:rRNA from 1 species
UACGUAGGGCGCAAGCGUUAUCCGGAAUUAUUGGGCGUAAAGAGCUCGUAGGCGGUUUGUCGCGUCUGCCGUGAAAGUCCGGGGCUCAACUCCGGAUCUGCGGUGGGUACGGGCAGACUAGAGUGAUGUAGGGGAGACUGGAAUUCCUGGUGUAGCGGUGAAAUGCGCAGAUAUCAGGAGGAACACCAGUGGCGAAGGCGGUGCUCUGGGCCGGAACUGACGCUGAGGCGCGAAAGCUAGGGUAGCAAACGGG